CACGAGCGCACCCCUGUCCUGUGUUGCUAACCCCUUAAAAGGUGCACUCUCAGGAGACCGCCAGCGAUAAGUUGGAGGAAGGUGGGGAUGACGUCAAGUCAUCAUGGCCUUUAUGUCCAGGGCUACACACGUGCUACAAUGGACGGUACAAAGCGCUGCGAACUCGCGAGAGGAAGCUAAUCGCAAAAAACCGUUCUCAGUUCGGAUUGCAGGCUGCAACUCGCCUGCAUGAAGCUGGAAUCGCUAGUAAUGGCAUAUCAGAACGAUGCCGUGAAUACGUUCCCGGGCCUUGCACACACCGCCCGU
rnacentral:rRNA from 1 species